UUCACCAUCAUGGACCCUGUUCCCAGGAAGAUGAUUUCUCCUAAAUUAAGGUGAUCACAGUGACUCUCAGUAAUAGGGAAAGAAAAACCCAACAAGGAUUGCAGGAGACUCUGGCCUCUGAUAUCACUGAUGUCCAGAAACAAGAUUCUGAGUGGGGACACAGCCUGCCAGGGCGAAUUGUCCCACCCCUGCAGCACAACUCACCUCCACCUAAGGAGCGAGCAGCCACCGGCUUCUUUGGGUUUCUAAGCUCUCUCUUCCCGUUUCGAUAUUUCUUCAGGAAGAGCAGCCACUCUUGAGCCUUCCAAAUGCAGCGCUGGAAAGAGGAUCAUCUCUUGUAGUGACUCCUCCCGAGCCAUUCUUCCUCCAACUCUAUCCUUUUCUUAUGACACUUCAGUCGUGGGGAAUGAGGUCCCCAUGCUGAGUCCUCUGUGGUUUUAUCGUGUCCUUUGCCCCUUUAUAAUAGAUUUUUUCCCCCAAUUUAAAACAUUAAGAAUGGAACUUUCUAAAAUGUUCAUGUCCUGAGGGCCGGUUUAGGCCUUUUGUCUUCGGCACUUAGGAUCCUAAUGACAAUAAAUUAUUUAUGAAGAGUUAUUGAUUGAAUUUAGUGGAAUAGAGUAAAAGAGAACAAAUGCUUCCCUCAAG
rnacentral:lncRNA from 1 species